rnacentral:sRNA from 1 species
UUUUAGCAGGAAUUCGCAUUAGCGGUAGAAGUGGCAUCCUUUUUAAAAAAGUUAGAAACCCCUAUUUUGAAGCAUACACAGAAGUUUAAAGCUGUUACAAACUUUUAAUUUGUACCCUUUACUUUUUAAAAAGAUAUAACGAAUAACGCGACCGCGC